rnacentral:lncRNA from 1 species
CCACCUUUACCAAAGGAAAAAUACAUCACCAAGUUUUGCCGAAGCCAGGAUUAAUCUGGAUGCUGAACCGGGACCUUUGACUUCUAUCGACCUGCGCACGGAAACAACCGUACGCUGAGUAAUUCAUACUCAGUGGUAUUACCAUAAUUCAAAUUAUAACAAUAAUGUACAUGUAAUGCAUAAAUCGUAUAUACAAUUUAAAUUCAAUAUUUCAACAAUAGCAAUUCAUCAACCAAUAUCGUAUAUCCACAAUUUGAGUUUGAAUAAAUCACGAACCUUAGGUUCAUUUCUCAAUCUCAUUUCACAUUUCAAUUCACAAUUCAACUUUUUCAUAUCAUUUCAAUAGCUCGUUUGACCAACUCGUUCGGUUUAUCAUUUCAUCAUUUACCCUAUUAACAAAACUCGGACUUUGGCGGAUACACGGAUCCAACCAAACACACCAGAAUGGCACCCAGUGCCUCAUCGGAUAGUUCGAAGCAAUAGUUGACACCCAGUGUCUCAUCGGCAAAGCCGAAGAAAGUUGGUACCCAGUACCUCAUCGAAUCUAUCCGAAGAAAUAUAGUGACACCCAGUGUCUCAUCGACUCGAGGUCGAAGUAUCCCUGAACUCUUCCAAUCCUAUGGCAUGCCAACUAUAUCCGACUCAGCCCGACUAGUUAAUAAGGUAUUUAAAUCACAUAUAUUCUCAAUUCAAUCACAAUUUCUCACACUUUCAAUUCAAUCAUUUUUCCACCUUCAAUCAAUAAUUAUUUCACAAAUUCACACAUUUUCACAACUCAAUACAUUUCCAUACAAUUUAAUACCAUUCACAAUUCGAUUCAAAUUCAUUUCCCGCUUUCAAUCAACAAACAAUUCAAAUAUUAAUUCAUAUAAACUAUUCAAUUUAAUUCCCACUCAUAAUAAUAAUACUAAUAAUAAAUUAAUACUAAUAUUAUACUUACCUCACAUUUCAUUUACUAGACACAUAAAUUAAAAUUUAGCAUUUAAUAAUAAAUAACUUGAAUUAUAGUAAUACAAACCGUUAUUCUCCCGUUUUAGUCCUCGAUAACUUUCUCCUUUCCUUUUGACGCCGAUGCCUCGGGUUCUUUGUUAGCUACGAAAAUAAUAAUUUGUAAUAUUAAUUACAGCACUAAUUAUAAUAAAUAAUUGAAUUUCUAUUUAAUUUCUUCCUAAUUCUCAAUUUAAUCCUAACUAAAUUCACUUACUUUCCUAAUUCAAUUCACACUCUAUUUCUAUUCAAAUUUCAUCCAAACUAAAAUUUAACUAUCAAAAUUUCAGCAUAUUUUGCUAAUUUCGAAUUUCCCUCAAUUUAGUCCCUAAAACAUAAAACUUAUAGUUUCUUUUACAAUUUAAUCCCUUUUUCAAUUCUAACUUAAAAUUCCUUCAAGUUAAUCCCUAAUUCAUCUCUUUUGUUCAACAUAAACUAUACUUGAAAACCUAUGAACUUACAAAAUAUCAACUUAAUUCCAUCAAAACUUUGUUUUAAAACUUUUAAAACAUUAGAAUUAAGAGAAAAUGGCUAAUUUGACUUACCAAUCAAAGCUUUAAACCUUAAACCUUCAUUUUUUCCUUUUUCUUUCUUUUUUCUUCUUUCUCCCCUGUUUCUUCUCUGUUUCGUCUUUGGCUAUUCUGUUUCUUUCUUCUUUUGUUUCUUUUAUUCUUUUAUUUUAACUUACUUUAUUUUAUUUCCUUUAUUUUAUUUCUUUUGUUUUCUUUUAUUUAAUUACUUUAAUAUAAUAAUUAAAAUAAAUAUCUAUUUAGUAAUUAAAUAUAAGUAUUACAAAUGUAUGUAUUUUAUUAAUACACUUGUAUUAAAUAUCACCAUACAUUUGUCUUUAUUUAAUUUAUUUCUUAAUAUAAUAUUUAUAAUAUAAUUAAUUUAAUAAUAUCCUUUAUAAUUAAUUUAUAUAUUUAUAUAAAUAAAUAAUAUAAAAAUCUAAGAUUUUUACAAUGUUAUGCCGCCUCAACUUCCAAAUGUGGCUUAAUUGCCCAUUUGGUCCCUCUUAUUUUCUUUUGAUCUAUAAUUAAACAUUUACCCUUUAUUCAAUUUAAUCAUUUUUCCUAAUUAUUCUUAAUUAGAUUAAAUUCAUCUAUCUAAAACUUAAUUAAACACACAACUAGUCUCGUAAAUAUUUCUAAUAAUUAUUUUCAGACUCAAUUUACUAAGACGGAGGCUCGAUAUUAUACUUUUUCGAUGCCCGUGAAUUUUGGGUCAUUACAUUUCUCCCCCCUUAAUAAAUUUCGUCCUCGAAAUUUACCUGAGAAGAGAUGAGGAUAUUGUGCUCUCAUCGUCUCUUCCGGUUCCCAAGUUGCUUCUUCCACACUAUGGCUUCUCCAUAAAACUUUUACUAAAGGAACUCGUUUAUUUCUUAAUUCUUUCACUUCUCGUGCUAAUAUUUGAACUGGUUCUUCUUCAUAAGUUAAAUCAGAUCGAAGUUCAAUGUCUUCAGUGGGAAUAACAUGAGAAGGAUCCGAUCUAUAUCUCCGAAGCAUCGAAACAUGAAAAACAUCAUGAAUUUUCUGUAACUCUGGAGGUAAGGCUAAUCGAUAAGCAACAGGCCCAAUUCUUUCCACUAUCUCAUACGACCCAAUAAAGCGCGGACUUAAUUUUCCCUUCCGACCAAAUCUCAAAAUUUUCUUCCACGGCGAUACUUUGAGGAAUACCUUAUCACCAACGGAAUAUUCAAUGUCUCGUCGUUUCAAGUCUGCGUAAGAUUUCUGUCUGUCGAAAGUGGCUUUCAGUCUAUCUUUAAUCUUUUUAACUGUUUCUUCUGUCUCUUGAAUCAAUUCCGGCCCAAUCACUUUUCUUUCUCUUAAUUCUUUCCAACAUAUUGGUGAUCGACACCUUCGACCAUAAAGUGCUUCAUACGGAGCCAUUUGAAUACUAGAUUGGAAACUAUUAUUAUAAACAAACUCGGCCAAUGGUAAAUAACGUUCCCAACCUGAUUCAAAAUCAAUGACACAAGCUCGAAGCAUAUCUUCUAAUAUCUGAAUUACUCGUUCAGAUUGUCCAUCAGUUUGAGGAUGAAAAGCUGUACUGAAACUAAGUCGAGUACCCAAUGAUUCAUGCAGCUGCUUCCAAAAUCUCGAAGUGAAUCGAGGAUCUCUGUCUGAAAUUAUUGUGAAUAGUGAAAUAAAUUAUUUUGAUUUGUUUAAGUAAUCGGAAAAUUUUUAAUGUUCUCGGUUUGGACCUGAACCAUUUCUAUUGCAUGUUUUAGGGUCUCGAGGAUCCUUUUUAGGGACAUAUUGAAUGAACGUGAGAGAAUUAAUUUUAAAGGUGAAAUUUUUAUGUUUCGAAUUAGUAAGUUAAGUCAGGUAACGCCUCGUGCUCGAUUUCGGAAACGGUCUUGGGUAAGGGGUGUUACAUGGAGACCUAGAUAGAAAUUAUUCAAAGAACUAAAAUAAUUUUUUAACCAUUAUUUAACAUGGCUUACUGGAUAAUGAUGAUUUCCAUUAAGUUAAAAUUAUAAUUACAUAUAAUUGUCUUAAUUAAGUUAAUUAGACAUGAUUAGUUAAUUAAUUAAACCUUAAGUAAGGUAUACAUUGCCAAGUUAGUGGAUGAAAGAUGAACCUUCAUCUUCUCCACCAUCCACCAUUUGAAACAAAAGGAGAAUAACUCUAUUUUUACAAUUCAUAUCCCACCAUCAAUUUAUUUAAGGUAACUAUUUAUUUUUCUUGUAAUUUUUAUAGAUUUUAUGAUCACGAGAGCUUGAUUUAGCUAGCCCAUGUAUCAAUUUUUUUCAAUUGUUAAAUUUUUAGCAAGUUGUUUGUAACAGCCCUUUUUAGUAAAAUUAGAACAGUGGUUUCAGGAUCACAAAUCUAAUGAGUAAAUUAUUAUUUUUUUAUUAUUUUAAUGUCUACAGUAUGUUAGUAGGGUCGUAUAAAAAUUUUGUUAAGAAAUUUUGACGUUUGUAUGCUUAAUUAAGUGAAAAUGACUAAAUCGUAAAAGGUGAAAAAGUGGAAUUCUAGUAGUUAAAGGUAUUAAUUAGCUAUGAAUUUUAAACGUAAGGGGAUUUAUAUGGUAAUUAGACCAUUAUUAUUAGUGGACAAAGAUGGACACAUUAUUAAGUGAUUUAAAGGUUAAUAAGCAAGGUUAAUUUUGUAAUUUAAUAAUUAUGUUAAGUAAAAUAACAUAAACUAAAACUAUCAUCUUCUUUAGUUGUUUUUUCCACCAAAAAUAAGAAAGAAAACUCCAUUGAAGGAGCUUGUACAUCCGACAUUGUCCACUGCAUGUAAGUGUUUUUGUCUCGUUUUCAAUGAUUUUUAUGUUUCCGGGAUCGUUGUAGCUAAACCGAGCUAGCCCAAUGAUUAAUUUGCAAAACUGUUAAAGAGUUAGGGUUUUGUCAUGAAUACUCUUGCAUGAUUUUUGAUGUUUGAUGGAAGAUUAUGAGUUCUUGUUGUUAAAUAAACAAGUUUUGUAAAGGGAUAUUUGAUGAAAUUGUCAUUUAGGGACUUAUUCGUAAAAAUGAUAAAAUUUUAUGUUAAAUUCAUGAAAUGGUGAUUUUUUGAGUUGGUAGGUGUCCUUAGUGAUUUUAGCUAGCAUGAAUUAGGGAUGAGAAUGUUUAAAUUUCAAUUUACGAGCUUAAGAACUAAAUUGUGAAAAAGUUAAAAUGUUAGGACAAAAUUGUAAUUUUGAAAAAUAUGAAUUAUGGACUGAAUUGUGUAGUGAAAAUAUUAAAUGAAUUGAAUUUAUCUAUUUAGAUCAAAAUAGACCUCGUAUAGAUUUAGAUAGGGAAAAGCGAAAACCUCAGAUUGAUCGACUGCAUUUUUACGCUUUGUUUGUUGAGGUAAGUUCGUAUGAUUAAAUAACAUUUUAAUGUUAUAUUGAUCUAUAUAUUCAUGUAUUAUUUUCCAUGAAAUUAAAUGAUGAAAAUUCAACUAUGUUACGAUGAUUAUCGAGUCCCGUUUGAACCUUAGAAAUACGUAAGAUACAAAUGACAUAUCAUUAGGGUUUCCAUGUUUCGAGUGCUAGUCUUGAAUCUCCUAUCGAUGGCUGAGGUCCUGUAUUUUUUGUGGAUACUCUACAGCUUGUGUGAGCAGCAUUGUGUAGCUUACAUUCUGACCUACAGCUUGUAUGAGCUGACCAAUUUCACAGCUCGUGUGAGCAACUAUGUAAAGGAAAAGGCAAGGUUACGAUUAUGUUUAGCACACUUUGUGUAACCUUUCCCGCGUAUCUGAUGUUAUUCUAAAUGGUUCAACAAAUAUGAAAAGGAAAGGAACAAUAAGUGUUCAAAUGACUUAUGUCAUGAAUCUAUGAAAAGGAUUGAAAUGGAAAUAUUCAAUGAAAGUAUACUUAUGUUCAUGAAAAUGAUGAUUUCAAAUGAAGUUGUUUAUGUAUAAUAACUUACAUUAUGUUAAUUCAAGUGAAUUAUGAAUUGAUGCACUAACAUGUGUUGUUGAUGAUGCUUAGGCUUGUGUCAAUCUUAUGGUUGGAUUGUAUCAUGCUUAAUUUUAAUGUUAUACAUUGAAAUGGUAAGAUAUGUUCAUGAUUUACGAAUUUACUGAGUAUUAUAUGCUUACGUAGUUUUCUUUCCUAUGUUUUAUAGAUAAUCGAAAGCUCGAUCAGGUUGGAAGUUCGUCGGAGAACUAUCACACUAUCCAGCAAUUAUAUUAGUAGUUAUUAAUGUUUUGGCCAAAGUUAUAAUGGCAUGUAUAGGUGGACUUGUGUUUGAAUGCUAGAUGAUAAGUUUGGCAUGUAUAUGUUAUUUUCGUUGAUGUACUUUUGGUACUUUUGAUGCCUUAUUGGUAUGUGUUAAAUUGGCUAAGAUUUGAUGCAUGCUUGAGUGACCAAAUGGUAUGUUUAUAAGGAGGUUCUAAUGAUCAUGACUAUGGUAUGUUUAGAAGUGGUAUUGAUUUACAUAAGUAUGGUUGAGAUAUGGUAAGUGUACAUGUUUAGGUAUGUUUGGUUGAUUGUAAUUGAGGUGCCUUGUAUGGCAUAUUGGUUGUAUGUUAAUGGUCUAUUGAAUUGGUCAUUUUAUGCAUGUUUUGGUAAGGUUUUGGUGCUUUGAAUUCGGGCACAAGUGGUGUUUAGGUACGACUUUGAAAUGGUGUUAGAAAUGGCUUAAUUUUGGCCAAUUUCAUGUCCACAUGGCCUGAGCCAUGUGUCCCUCGUAGGUUUUAAGGUUUGCAAGUCAGGCAGUUACACGGCCUGACACACAGGCGUGUGAGGCCAUUUCAAGAGUUAUGGCCUGGCACACGGGCGCGUGAUACCAUUUUGAGAGUUACACGGCCUGGCGUGUGUCUUGGCCAUGUGACCCAACUUCGAAAGUUACAUGGGCUGGGACACAACAGUAUGUUCCUAUUUCGAUUAUUACACGGCCUAAGAAACGGACGUGUAUCUCAGCCAUGUGAGUCACACGGCUUGGCCACACGGCCGUGUGAACCUUGCAAUUCAAUUUUUCCAACUUUUUCUUAAAUGUUCCAAAUGUUCCCAAUUUAGUCCUAAAUUGUUUCUAACGUAUUUCUAGGGCCUCGAGGGCUCAGUUAAGGGACAAUAUGUAUGUGUAUGAACUAUUUAUGCCAUGUUUAUAUUGAGGUAUGAAAUGCAUGUUUUUAUGUUACGUUUAUACAGUAAUGCUUCAUAACCUUAUUUUGACGACAGAUACAGGUUAGGGGUGUUUCAUUUUCAUUGUUGAGAAAUUGAUGAAUUAGACUUGAAAUUGAUAAAAAUUAAGCUUAGAUCAUGAUAAGGAUUGAAUUGUGAAGCUAAAUAAGCUUGAUAGUUAACUUUGUGACAUUAGGGACUAAAUUGAAUAAAUUGAAAAUAUGUCAUAAAAUUAUGUUAUGAAUAGAAAGUAUAGUCCCUGAUGAAAGAAUGUGAUAUUGUAUUUUUAUUCGAAGCUAAACAUAGAAAGUAUGCAUAUCUCGAGUAUAAUGACUAAAUUAAAUAAAAUGUAAAAUAUUCUUGUCUUUGUAUUUGAAUGUGAAUCAGAAUAAAUUGGAUAUUGUUCAUUUGUUGAAUUAUCAUAUGUAGCUAAAGACAACAUGGGGUCGUUGAGAGGGAAAGGAAAAACAAGAGUCAUCAAUGAGUGACGCAAGGAUUGGGUUUGUACUUUUCUACUUCGAGAUAAAUUUGUUUGUUUGCAUAUUCAUAUUAAUUGCGUGAUUGAGCAUCGAGGUGAGCAUAUAAUUGUUGUAUGAAUUGAUUCACUGUGAUUGAUAUUGAAAAUUGAGAUAUUAGACUGAAUUGAAUAAAAUAGAAAGUAGCAUAAUUUAAUUGAUACAUGAUAUGUGAUAUGAAAAUAGAUUGAAACAUGUUAUAUGAUAUGAGAAAAUUUUCAAUUGAUGAUGAAUUGAGACUAAUGAUAUGUGAAUUGAAUUAUAUAAUGCAAUUGAAACGUUGGUUACCUUAUUAGUUGUUCGAAUAGGGUUAGAUAUAGUUGGAUUUCAAUAUGGUCAAGUAUAAUUAUUAGAAACCAUCAUUGUCAGGCAACCCGUGAUGACAAAAUAAUUAGAUUGUGAAAAUCAUUGUUGCCGGGAAACCCGAUGUGGUACUAUGUACAUGUUCCAGUAGUCAUCAUUAUUGGAUAACCCGAGAUGACAAAGUAUUAGAUUCGUGUAUCCAUUCUAAGUCUGUGUCAGGUUAAUAUGGUUAUAAAAAUAUGAAUUGGUUAUAUGAUCAUUAAGAUGAAUGCAAUUGAGUUGGUAUACUUGUAUUCUAUAUGAAAUGUGGAAAACUACAACAUGUGAAAGACCAUGCGAACGGGUUAAAACGAGCCCUGGGGUCGUGUAACACCUCUUACCCGAGACCGUUGCCGGAAUCGAGCACGAGACAUUACUCAGCUUAUCUUACUAAUUCGGGGCAUAAAAAUUCGUUUUGAAAAUUAAUUUCACUGUUUACAGUAAUCUGUCCAAUCGCGCAGCAGUUACUAAAUUGAUUAUAACUCAAGCUACGGAACUCCAAAUUUAAUUUCGUAAUUUUUUCUGAAACUAGACUCAUAUAUAUUUCUACCAUAAAAUUUUCAGAAUUCUUGGUUUGAUCAAUUAGUACAGUUUAUUAGUUAAAGUCUCCCCUGUUUCUUCACUCGACUGUCCUGACCCCUUGGUACUAAAAAUAAAUUUUCUCAUUAUAGGAUUUUUAUAUGAUAUUACCACUUAUUUAUACAGAAAAUAGACUCAAUAAGGAUUCUAUACAUAUAAACUACAACUCAUAACUAUUUUUUUACCAUUUUUAGUGAUUUUCUAAACUCGGAACAGAGGACUCCAGAAACAGAUCUGACACUGUCUCAUUAAAAUUCACUUAUCUCAAAAUAUAAAAUUCCUUUUGUUAAACCAUUAUUUUUCUAUGAAAAUAGACUCAACAAUCUUUCAUUCCAUAUAUCAUUAACCCUCUAAUUCAUUUUAUACUAUCCUAGGUGAUUUUUCAAAAUUACGUCACUGUUGCUGCCUGAAUUCUGUUUCUUUGCAAAGUUUACCCUUUCUCGAUUUUCAUACUUAACCAUUUUAAAAGCCAAACAUUAUCACAUACUCACACAUCUUUCUUUAGCAAUCUCAUAGAUACAAAACAUUCAAAAUGACUAAUCCCUAUACAUCACUUAGGUAUAUACAUUACCUAGGUACAUGCCACAUUAUCAACAGAAAGGUACAUCACUAAAAUGCCUCUAAGGUCGGGAUUACUUUGGAUGCUGGACCGAACACUGGUUUUCUACAAUCCUGCGCACGGAAAAAACCGUACGCUGAGUAUGGGUAUACUCAGUGGUAUUACCAUAAUUCAAAUUAAUAAUAUUAAUUGAUAAAUUAUAUACAUUUAAUUUAUGUCUACAAUUAUUCAUUAAUUAUCUCAUACUUUAACUCAACUUGAUCAUUAAUAACAAUAAGCAAUAUUUCAAUUCUUGUAUUUAAUUGUAUUCAUACCUUAUUUCACUAUCUCAAUUCUGUUGGAUUUUUCGACAUCUCAUUCUAAUAAUUCAUUCCAAUUCAUACAAACUCAAUCAAUUUAUCAACUCAUUCAUUAUCAUUUCUAUUUAUAUUCAAUAUGUACUUUAAAUCUUUUAACACUCAAUUUAUUCAUUAAAUCCAUAACUAAAUUUCAAUAACUUGUAUUCAAUUAAAUUCACAUAUUAUUUCACUCAUUCAAUACCAAUACGGCACAUUAUGCCUAAAACGGUACAUAUAAACUUUAUAAAACAUACCUUAACAUAUUAAUGAUUCACUUUUGUCCACAGCUUAUAAUCUUAGCCCAAAGUAGAUUUUACAGAACACCCCGGAUAUACGGAACAAAUACAGAGAGCACAAAUGUGCUAAACAGAGAGCACCAACGUGCUAAUAUCAGAGAGCACCAACGUGCUAAUAUCAGAGAGCGCACUAAAGUUCCUUAAUAAGUUCCUUAAUGGCAUGCCACUAAUAUCCUGGUAGUUCUAAAUUCCAUCUACUUGGGGAUUAAAUCUGAAUAUCAUUUAUUUAAAUACUUUAUAGAAUUAUUUCAAAAGGACUUAUCAUUUCUUCGUCAUUACAAUUUACUACUUAUUCCGCAAUUCACAAAUAUCACACUUAUUCACAAUUUAAUUCACUUUUAUUCCAUUCAUAUAUAUAUAUAUAUAUAUAUAUAUAUAUAUAUAUAUUUAAUUCAUUUUCCAAUCAAAUUCAUGUACAAUUCAAUAUCAAUAUUCAUCUAUUUUUUUAUACUAAACAUAUUAUUCAAAAUUCAACAAUUACUAUUAAUAAAUUCAAUACCAAUACAUGUGUGUAUAUGUAUCUAUAUAUUUCAUUCAAUUCAAUCAUGAUACUCACCUUAAUUUGCUUAUAAUGUAUAUUAAUUUAAUUUUAUCAAUUAAUAAUUAAAUUCGAAUUAUAGUAAUACUAACCGGAAUUUCUCCUGAGUCAAUCCUUGUCCACCUUCUCCUUUCCUUUCUCGGGCAAUGACUCGUACACGACAUUAGCUACGUAAUUAAACAAUUACAAAUCAUUAAUACACAAUUUCAUUAAAAUAUUUCCUUUUAUACCUAAACUUUACCCAAAUUUUAAUUUAAUCCCUUACCAAUACUAAUUUUAUUUUUCCAUUCUAACUCUAUAUUCUCUCUUAAUUCUUACUAUAAACUCAGUUUAAUUCUUCAAUUUCCCCAUAAAUCCCUAAUUUCGGGAUUCUUUCAAUUUAAUCCCUAUCAAUUCACAACUUAUAUUUUAUUUUACAAAUCAAUCUUUUACUAACUUCUAACUUAAAAUUCAAUCAUUUUAACCUCUAGUUCAUCAAUUAAUUCAACAUAACUCAUGUCUAACAAUCUACUAACUUUCAAAAUAUCAACAUAAAUCAAGUAGUAUUUAUCUCUAGGAUUCCAAAAACUCAAAAAUUAUAAGAAAAGGACUUAAUUUGACUUACCAAUUGAGCUUGGAACCUUAAAACCUUAAAUUUCCCUUUUUCUUUUUCUUUCUUUCUUUCUUUCUUUCCUUCCUUCUCUGCCCGUUUUGCUCUCUGUUUCUUUCUCUGUUUCGUCUCUUCUAUUCUGUUUCUUUUCUUUCUUUUGUUUUAUGUAUAUAUAUAAUAUAAUAUAAUAUAUUAAUAAUAAUAUAAUAUAAAAACAUAAUCAUUACU